rnacentral:rRNA from 1 species
CCUACGGGAGGCAGCAGUGAGGGAUAUUGGACAAUGGGGGAAACCCUGAACCAGCAACGCCGCGUGAGUGAAGACGGCUUUCGGAUUGUAAACCUCUGUCCGCGGUGAAGAAAAUGACGGUAGCAGAGGAGGAAGCUCCGGCUAACUACGUGCCAGCAGCCGCGGUAAUACGUAGGGCGCAAGCGUUGUCCGGAUUUACUGGGUGUAAAGGGUGCGUAGGCGGCCCUGCAAGUCGGAAGUGAAAUCCAUGGGCUUAACCCGUGAACUGCUUUUGAAACUGUAGGGCUUGAGUGCAGUAGAGGCAGGUGGAAUUCCCGGUGUAGCGGUGAAAUGCGUAGAGAUCAGGAGGAACACCAGUGGCGAAGGCGGCCUGCUGGGCUUUAACUGACGCUGAGGCACGAAAGCGUGGGGAGCAAACAGGAUUAGAUACCCGUGUAGUC